GACGUAGGGCGCGAGCGUUGUCCGGAUUUAUUGGGCGUAAAGAGCUCGUAGGCGGCUUGUUGCGUCGGCUGUGAAAACCCAUGGCUCAACCGUGGGCUUGCAGCCGAUACGGGCAGGCUAGAGUUCGGUAGGGGAGACUGAAAUUCCUGGUGUAGCGGUGAAAUGCGCAGAUAUCAGGAGGAACACCGGUGGCGAAGGCGGGUCUCUGGGCCGAUACUGACGCUGAGGAGCGAAAGCGUGGGGAGCGAACAGG
rnacentral:rRNA from 1 species